rnacentral:rRNA from 1 species
UACGUAGGGGGCAAGCGUUGUCCGGAUUUACUGGGCGUAAAGAGCGCGCAGGCGGUUGAUUAAGUCGAAUGUGAAAGCCCCCGGCUCAACUGGGGAGGGUCAUUCGAUACUGAUCGACUUGAAGGCAGGAGAGGGAAGUGGAAUUCCGGGUGUAGUGGUGAAAUGCGUAGAUAUCCGGAGGAACACCAGUGGCGAAGGCGACUUUCUGGCCUGUUCUUGACGCUGAGGCGCGAAAGCUAGGGGAGCAAACAGG